CUGUACUAUAAAACUACAAACGUAGAAAAAACGAUUGAGUUAUCUUAGUGGGAAAUUUAUUUCAAGCUUGCUGGCAGGAAGAUAAGUGAAGCAAUGUGUAAAAUUAUUGAAGAAUUAGCAGUUGCAGGUGUCUUGUUUACUGGAGUUGCUGCUUUCAUAAACAAUUUUGAUAUGAGAAAGGCAUAUGAUAAAACCAUGGGAAGGGCUCAUAGAGAGUAUACCACGUGGAUCAAUGGUGAGGAAAAGACUAGAGGAACACUGGCCAAGGACUAAUACUGAUUACCUUAAUUCUAAGUAAAUUA